GGGAUGUAUUGUGUGUUUCUCGUGUGUAAGGGAUGCAAAGUGUGUUUCUGUGUAUGUAAGGGAUGCAGUGUGUGUGUAAGAGAUGCAUUGUGUUUCUGUGUGUGUGUAAGAGAAGCAAUGUGUGUUUACAUGUGUGUGUAAGGGAUGCAUUGUGUGUUUCUGUGUAUGUGUGCAAAGGAUGCAUUGUCUUUAUGUGUAAGGGUUGCAUUGUGUGUG